UACGUAGGUGGCAAGCGUUGUCCGGAAUUAUUGGGCGUAAAGCGCGCGCAGGCGGCUUCUUAAGUCUGAUGUGAAAUCUCGGGGCUCAACCCCGAGCGGCCAUUGGAAACUGGGAAGCUUGAGUACAGAAGAGGAGAGUGGAAUUCCACGUGUAGCGGUGAAUGCGUAGAUAUGUGGAGGAACACCAGUGGCGAAGGCGACUCUCUGGUCUGUAACUGACGCUGAGGCGCGAAAGCGUGGGAGCAAACAGG
rnacentral:rRNA from 1 species